UAUGCAGCGUAUACGCAUAUAUCCAUUUUACAGCAAUGACAUUUCUGCAAAGACAUUUCCUAUUUAGUUUUAAUUUGACAAUCUUAUUUUAUUGUGCUCUGAUAAUGCUUUAAACAUCCACAAACUAAAGUCAUCAGAUUAGAUUAACUGUCAGCUUAUAUACUUUCUUAUCGUUUAUGAAAAUGUUCAACGUCAGUAGAGCUUUUAUCAUUUCGCGAGGCACAACACUACAUAAUCAGGCUAGAUUGGGCUAGAAUAAUAUAUUAAAUUUUGUGCUGCUUACUUAUGUGUAUUGUAAUUAUCAAAUUAUUAGAAUUAGUCCGUUUAAAUCUGUGAGUCAGUUUACAGAAAACGAAAAGAAAUACUGAUAAAUCGUGUGAUAAUUAUGUUGUGCAAUAUUUUGUAAUAGAGAAAGAGAAAGAGAGAAAAAGAGAGAUACAAAAAGUACAAUUUUUUUAUCUCUUAUAUUAUUAAAUAUAUAUAAAUGUAUAUCAGAAACAUAAUUGCAAAUUUUUAUCAAAGAUAAUACAUUUGCGAUUGGAAUUAUCAAUGUAUCUAUUCGAAUAAUCGCGGUAUCGAUCAAUGCAGAUAAGACUGAUCACCAACUGACAUCAUCGAAAGCUGCAAGUCACUACUAUUACAUAAAAUCAUUAUUAUUAUAGAAUGAUUAAUCAUUAUAAAAUGAUUAAGAAAUGACAUUAACAUUUUAGUGAAUAAAGUGCGCUGUUUGCAAGGAAUUGUUAAGUGCAAGACAAUUAUUCAACAACAACGGACGUGCAUAACGUGGUUCCGUGCAAAUAUUUAUUUAAUAAAAUGAAUUUUUAGUGUUGCACGUGAUAUUUAUAUUAUUUUCGAACAAUUAAUUAAUACUACAUUGAAUUUUUUACAUGACUGGAUCUUUUGAAUCAUAAAAUGAUUAACAAGGUGCCACCGAAUGGGGGAUGGGGAUGGGUGAUUGUCGUAGCUGCAGCACUGAAUGGCCUGUCUACCAUCCCAAUUAUACAGGGAUUCGGAUUGAUAUUUAAAGAUUCUUUCGCCAAACUUAAUCUGAAUGCAACCGAUACGUCAGUUAUAAUUAAUGUAAAUUUGGCAUUUGGCAUGAUACUCGGCUUAAUCAAUGGGCCGCUCUUGAAGAUUUUUGGUUACAGAAAAGUAGCGAUGGCGGGAAGUAUAAUGUUCACUGUUGGUGUAACAUUGACGGCAUUCGCCAAUAGCUUUACUCUUAUUAUAAUUUCUUAUGGAGUGCUAACCUCUAUUGGCAUUACUACGACGAUGUCUGGAUUCUCUCUAGCGACCAAUUCGUAUUUUACUACGAAACGAGGACGAGCCGUAGGCUUGGCAAUGACCCUCACAGGAAUAGGUCCAAUCCUUAUACCUCAAAUAGCCUCCUUCUUACUUUCGAUUUAUGGUGUUCAGGGUACCGUCUUGAUACUUGGGGCUUACAGUUCUCACUCGAUGAUAGCUGCGAUGCUGCUACAACCGGUUAAAUGGCACAUGAAAAAUGCACCCCUUUGUUUAGAGACAGUCACUGAAAAUCCUAAAAUUUUGACUGAUGUUAACGAUAAACAAGACACAUUGAAUAAUUACGAGGAAGAUGAAACAAAUAUACAGUCAUCGAUGCAGGCGCUAAAUAAUUAUCAGCGAAAAAGAAGAACGACAAUAUCUAGUAUCGAUCACGAUAUCGAGGUUGGAAGUAUUUAUGGAUUCGAUACGCCUUUGCCUCGACAGAUUUCUACAGACGGAAGUGUGAACCGAGCUAAUUUAUCAUACGACUCAAAUUACGGCACCGAAAUGUCGGUGAUGAACGGGACAUCAAAGACGAAUUUAUACGACGGUCACAAGGGUCUGGUAUAUCCUUGGUGGAAUUCAUCAAAAAGCAUAGAUAGUAUUCAUCUUGGUAGCAGCAUAAAAAUUUUCGACGAACCUGUUCCAAUAACGAAAAAACUGAUGUUUAUCGAUGGUGUAAACAAAAAUAAUAAUGUAAUUCAAAACGUGGAAAAAGAUUCGCUAUUGGAAAAAGAGGCAGAUAACUGUUCUAUCAAAGAAAACAAUAACGAUUGUGGCGAAAGAAAUUCGACUCUCUGCCGAAUUCUACGACGAGUGGCUGACCUUUAUGACUUCGAUCUUCUUCGCGAUCCAAUUUACGUGAACAUCAUGAUGGGGAUGUCAAUCGCGAUUUUCGCGGAGGUGAAUUUUUCCAUGCUGACGCCGUUCAUCCUCGCUGAUAUGGGCUUGUCAACGGCAAAGAUUGCCAAUAUCAUGAGCGUCAUAGCGAUAGUUGAUCUCGUUAGCAGAGGUGCGGCACCUUAUCUGGGGGAGUACCUGCGUCUGUCAGCCAGGAUGAUGUACAUGCUCAGCUUGUUUCUUCUGAUAAUUAGUAGAAGCUUACUAAUAUUUGCGUAUAACUUCACUACAAUGCUGGCCGUCGCAAUUGGUUUGGGAGCAUCAAAAGGUAUUCGAUCGGUGUAUAUGGCCUUAGUCGUACCCAGUUACGUUCCCAUUCAAAAGUUACCCAACGCUUCGGGAAUUCAAAUGUUGACCAAUGGAAUGAUUCUUUUGUGUGCUGGUCCUAUGCUUGGUGUAAUACGAGAUAAUACUGGAAAUUACACGAUCUGCAUUAUCUUGCUUAACUGCGUUACCGCUAUUACACUGUUUAUCUGGACAACUGAGAUGCUUGUGCGCAGAAAACGUGCCCGACAAAAGAUGCAAUUAUCUGGAUCAUCUUAAUACUAAACUGUUCCUGUAAAUAAAUUAUUUCCAACAAUACACAAGUUUCGAACACGGCAAACAACGGCAGUAGACCUCGUAGACAAUGGUACGACUUUUCCCACUAUCUUCCGGCGGGGGAGUUCUCACGUUUCGCUGCUACGAGCAACGUGUGAUACUACUAAAGAGACCUGAAAAGGAAGUUCGAAGGUCAAUGAAUUGUAGAUAUUGUUGCAUCAAGCAAGUUAAUCUAUUCAAUGCUAUUAAUUUAUCCUCUCUUGCAUCAAGCUCUUGCUCAUUAAGUGUAACACUUUUUUCGUGACAUCAAAUGACUAUAAUAUACGCACGAUAUCACUUAAUUUUCCUGUGCGAAAUGACGGUUUACAACUGAAGCACGGAAGUAAUUAAUUUCUGUUUUAUUAAGACGAACCUAAAUGUAAAAAAUAUAUUAGU